GACGAACGCUGGCGGCGUGCUUAAUACAUGCAAGUCAACUGAACUUAAGAUAGCAAUAUUUUAAGGGAGGUGGCGCACGGGUGAGUAACACGUAGGUAAUCUGCCUUUAGGUCUGACACAACCCCGAGAAAUCGGGGCUAAUAUCAGAUGAUGCAGCGGCUCGACAUCGAGACAGUUGUUAAACCUUCGGGGCCUAAAGAUGAGCCUGCGUCUGAUUAGGUAGUUGGCGGAGUAAAAGCCCACCAAGCCUGCGAUCAGUAGCUGGUCUGAGAGGAUGAUCAGCCACACUGGAACUGAGACACGGUCCAGACUCCUACGGGAGGCAGCAGUAAGGAAUAUUGCUCAAUGGCCGAAAGGCUGAAGCAGCAACGCCGCGUGGAGGAUGAAAUACUUUUGUAUGUAAACUCCUGUAAGAAGGGAAAAAUAUUCCGAUUUAUCGGGAUUGAUUGUACCUUCAGAGUAAGCCCCGGCUAACUACGUGCCAGCA
rnacentral:rRNA from 1 species